UCCAAACAAUGUCUCACCUGUUACAUAAGCUAACUUUUAAUAUUUUAAUUUUAGAAAAUUUCAAAACAGUAUCUCACGUUCAUAAUCCGAUAGAAGAUUGGUAUUUGGAGCCAUUAACUUGAUAAUUUGGAAAUUAAGGAUAUUUAGAUGGUGCGAUAUGAGCCGUAGAAAACUAAACCGUUUAAUAUCAGCCGUUAGAUUAAGUCGGUAAUGAGGAUAAAAUGAUGUUGACUUGGUCAGCUAGUCAGAUCUUUUCUUUCCCCAUUGUUCAAAAAGAUAUUUUCUUCCCCGACGCCGCUCUCGACAUCCGGUGGCUUCUCGGUGACGGGAACAAUCAAUCAAACCGUCUCGACGUCGCCGACACAUCCCGACCACCAAUUGACCAUAGAACAAAGCAAGUAACUGCAGCAUGGUAAAAGUUCAAUUUAAUGAAACAAGAGAAAAUAAUAGAAUGGAAUCACGAAAUGCGGCUAUUUUUGGCUUCCUACCGAGCGCCUACAAAAUAUAUAAGUGGUUCAUCCGACUUCUUCUGACGAGGAUCAAGAAAACCAUUGGGAACCGCACCAAAAGUACAUGUUUGGAAACACAGUGCAACCAUGAUGUUUAUCAUAGAGGUGCCACGUGAUGAAACAUCACCAAAAUAGACCGAGAGCCUAGAAACAAAUCCAAAACAGAUAGAGAGUGCAGCUUUUACUUCGCCCCAAGGUAUCCAAACACUAUACUCCUAGGAACUGAAAUACAAAAUGGAUCCUUCGGCUGUCUCCUGCACUGAAACAACAUAUAUAGCGAUCAGCAACAUCAACAGCAUCACAACUGCUUCUGGUACUAGCUAAACUAGUACUGUGGCUGUUGCUGAUAUGAACAGACUCAAUAUGGUGAGAAAAAAUCAAAAAUCUCAUCACUGACAUCCAUAUUAGCCCGAUAGGGCAUAUCAUGGGUAGCAAGCUUAUAUGAUGACCGAUGACAUCUAACCGAAAGGAUGGCACGGAUCAUACAAUUGACACUAUCCAACAGGUCUUCAAAAGAGAGAAUCUGCAUAUCAUAAAA
rnacentral:lncRNA from 1 species